rnacentral:rRNA from 1 species
GGGGAAUCUUGCGCAAUGGGCGAAAGCCUGACGCAGCGACGCCGCGUGGGUGAUGAAGGCCUUCGGGUUGUAAAGCUCUUUGGGUGGAGACGAAUAAGUCGUGGCUAACAUCCACGAUGAUGACGGUAUCCACAUAACAAGCACCGGCUAACUCUGUGCCAGCAGCCGCGGUAAGACAGAGGGUGCAAACGUUGUUCGGAAUUACUGGGCGUAAAGCGCAUGUAGGCGGCCAAGCAGGUCGGAUGUGAAAUCCCUCGGCUCAACCAAGGAAGUGCAUUCGAAACCGCAUGGCUGGAGUCCCGGAGAGGAAGGUGGAAUUCUCGGUGUAGAGGUGAAAUUCGUAGACAUCGAGAGGAACACCGGUGGCGAAAGCGGCCUUCUGGACGAGGACUGACGCUGAGAUGCGAAAGCGUGGGGAGCAAAC